rnacentral:rRNA from 1 species
GAUGAACGCUGGCGGCGUGCCUAAUACAUGCAAGUCGAGCGAACGGACGAGAAGCUUGCUUUUCUGAUGUUAGCGGCGGACGGGUGAGUAACACGUGGAUAACCUACCUAUAAGACUGGGAUAACUUCGGGAAACCGGAGCUAAUACCGGAUAAUAUUUUGAACCGCAUGGUUCAUAAGUGAAAGACGGUCUUGCUGUCACUUAUAGAUGGAUCCGCGCUGCAUUAGCUAGUUGGUAAGGUAACGGCUUACCAAGGCAACGAUGCAUAGCCGACCUGAGAGGGUGAUCGGCCACACUGGAACUGAGACACGGUCCAGACUCCUACGGGAGGCAGCAGUAGGGAAUCUUCCGCAAUGGGCGAAAGCCUGACGGAGCAACGCCGCGUGAGCGAUGAAGGUCUUCGGAUCGUAAAACUCUGUUAUUAGGGAAGAACAUAUGUGUAAGUAACUGUGCACAUCUUGACGGUACCUAAUCAGAAAGCCACGGCUAACUACGUG